CUUUCCUUUACAAGGUCACAUGCUAACCGACCCCGGGAGGGGCUAACAUUAGUUUGACCCAUUUAUACACAACAGUGGUAUGGAUAGAGAGAAGCAGACCCUGGACCAAAAGAGAGUGAGAGACUGAGAGAUAGAGAGAGAAAGAGAGAGAGAGAGAGACUGAGGUAGAGAGAAUGAGGGAGCGAGAGAGUGGGGGAAGAGUGUGAAAGUAAGGGAGACAAAAAGAGUGAGAGAGAGAGAGAGUGUAGGAGAAAGUGAGCAAGAGGCUGAGGGAGAUAAGGUGAGAGGGAGACUGAGAGAAAGAGGUUUAGGAAGAGAGAGAGA